rnacentral:lncRNA from 1 species
AUAUCUCUUGAUCUGCAAAUCUUUUGAUUUUGUUUCCUUCUCUGUGUUCAUUCCUUGCAGGUGAAGAUUCGGCUCGUGCAAAGGGACUUGGCUGCGGCGGCUGAAGUUUCUUAGAAACCCUAGGGUUUCUUUAUCUGUUUUGGGCCACUGAGUUUCGGGCCUCUGCUUUGUUUCAGUUUGGGCCCUUAUAGGCCUGUUUGUAAUUUGGGCCUUUUAGACCCGGGCCAAAAUAGGGUAUUUCAGUCACAUUAUGUCGU